rnacentral:rRNA from 1 species
CCCUUAGAUGUUCUGGGCCGCACACGCGCUACACUGAAGGAGGCAGCGUGUACUCCUGGAUCGAAAGAUUUGGGUAACCCGCGAAUCUCCUUCGUGCUAGGGAUUGAGGUUUGCAAUUAUCCUUCAUGAACGAGGAAUUCCCAGUAAGUGCAAGUCAUAAGCUUGCGCUGACUACGUCCCUGCCCUUUGUACACACCGCCCGUCGCUACUACCGAUUGAAUGAUUUAGUGAGGGCUUCGGACUGGGACCGAUGCGGCUUUCGGGCUGCGUCGGUAUUCUGGAAAGAUGUCCAAACUGUAUCAUUUAGAGGAAGUAAAANUCGUAACA